rnacentral:lncRNA from 1 species
GCGCCCGCGACAGUAAAACAUCUGUAAUGUGCCAUUCGCCGCUGCUUGCUGAUUGCUCAUGGAUUAAAGAUUAAAAUCUCGGCUUUGGCAGAUGGGGAGAGAGAGGAAACUCUUACGAGCACGUUUUGCAUCUGCAUUUCAUUCUGCUCUGCUCCCUGCGCCACGCCUGGUGGCGUCCGCCCUACCCCGCCCACCCAGCUCCCGUCUCCCCCUGCGCGCCCAGGCUGGCCCGGACCCCGCGGGCCCCCCGGUCCUCUUCCCUCCCUUCCAGUCGCUCCGACUCUGGGCCCUUCCCCUCCUCCCCUCGUCUCUCUCGUCUGGGGUUCCCGCCUCUGACCCGGUGUGGGUCACUUCCCCGCUCCCGCCCAGGCUUCAGGCAGGAUAUGCUGAAGCUCCCCAGAAAGGGGUAUGCUCGGGUCCGCGAGCUGCGGGCGCCACCCACGUGCCUGCCACCCCUAGCCGACCCACACGGCAGAGCGUGGGAGACACAGGCAGACAGCAGAAAGGAAAACCCACCUGUCGACUCCCACCCUGGGACAGCCCUCCACGUGUUGCUCCAGUCCGUUCUGCACGUGCGCCCAGCGAGAACGGAGUCCUAGGACGCAACCAUUCCGCCGGUCGCCCCCACCAGAAAAAACCAACUGAGUGCACGAGAGAUACAAAUGGAUCGUUUGGUGGAGAAAUCCGUCUUCGUCACCGCCGCCAGGCUGGGAUUAAUGCGAUUGAAGGCUCCUCCAGGCUCCGCCAGGGAGACGGGCUCGGGAAAGCAAGAGAAAUUGGUUUGUACCCCUGGGAGCACGAUUGA